AUGAACGCUGGCGGCGUGCCUCAUACAUGCAAGUCGAGCGAACGGACGAGAAGCUUGCUUCUCUGAUGUUAGCGGCGGACGGGUGAGUAACACGUGGAUAACCUACCUAUAAGACUGGGAUAACUUCGGGAAACCGUAGCUAAUACCGGAUAAUAUUUUGAACCGCAUGGUUCAAAAGUGAAAGACGGUCUUGCUGUCACUUAUAGAUGGAUCCGCGCUGCAUUAGCUAGUUGGUAAGGUAACGGCUUACCAAGGCAACGAUGCAUAGCCGACCUGAGAGGGUGAUCGGCCGCACUGGAACUGAGACACGGUCCAGACUCCUACGGGAGGCAGCAGUAGGGAAUCUUCCGCAAUGGGCGAAAGCCUGACGGAGCAACGCCGCGUGAGUGAUGAAGGUCUUCGGAUCGUAAAACUCUGUUAUUAGGGAAGAACAUAUGUGUAAGUAACUGUGCACAUCUUGACGGUACCUAAUCAGAAAGCCACGGCUAACUACGUG
rnacentral:rRNA from 1 species